rnacentral:lncRNA from 1 species
GGGUUGUUGACCAUCGCACUGAAAUCUUCAGCCAGUGACCUCAGGGAGGAUUUCUUACAGCUGCGUGUCAGGAAUCUCCUCUCUUCAAGUGAAGGGACAAAACCAGUACAUGGAGUAUCACUGGAAGUCAGUUCUUUUCCUGACUGCUCUGCUGCAUGAGUAUGGCCAACAUCAAGGUUCCACUGAGUAAGGGUAAGUCCUUCCUUGGCAAGUUCAACUAGAUCCUGCAGGUUCUG